UACAGAGGGGGCAAGCGUUGUUCGGAAUUACUGGGCGUAAAGCGUGCGCAGGCGGCCUUCUAAGUCGAACGUGAAAUCCCCGGGCUCAACCCGGGAACUGCGUCCGAUACUGGAAGGCUUGAAUCCGGGAGAGGGAUGCGGAAUUCCAGGUGUAGCGGUGAAAUGCGUAGAUAUCUGGAGGAACACCGGUGGCGAAGGCGGCAUCCUGGACCGGCAUUGACGCUGAGGCGCGAAAGCCAGGGGAGCAAAGCGGG
rnacentral:rRNA from 1 species